GGACGGUUGGCCCAGUGGAUAAGGCACUCGGCUUCGAACCGAGCGAUCGGGGGUUCGAAUCCCUCACCGUCCGCCA
rnacentral:tRNA from 1 species